rnacentral:rRNA from 1 species
AUUGAACGCUGGCGGCAGGCCUAACACAUGCAAGUCGAACGAGUGGCGGACGGGUGAGUAAUGUCUGGGAAAAUGCCCGAUGGAGGGGGAUAACUACUGGAAACGGUAGCUAAUACCGCAUACCAUCGGAUGUGCCCAGAUGGGAGUAGCUAGUAGGUGGGGUAACGGCUCACCUAGGCGACGAUCCCUAGCUGGUCUGAGAGGAUGACCAGCGAGACUGGAACGGAGACACGGUCCAGACUCCUACGGGAGGCAGCAGUGGGUAAUAUUGCACAAUGGGCGCAAGCCUGAUGCAGCCAUGCCGCGUGUAUGAAGAAGGCCGUUGGGUUGUAAAGUACUUUCAGCGAGGAGGCGUUACUCGCAGAAGAAGCACCGGCUAACGCCGUGCCAGCCGCCGCGGUAAUUC